rnacentral:lncRNA from 1 species
UUUGAUUCCUGGCCUUCCUCAGUGGGUUAAGGAUCCAGCAUUGCCGUGAGCUGUGAUGUAGGUCCCAGGUGUGGCUCAGAGCCUGCAUUGCUGUGGCUGUGGUGCAUGCCAGCAGCUACAGCUCUGAUUUGACCCCAGCCUGGGAACUUCCAUAUGCCACAGGUACGACCCUCAAAAGACCAAAAAAAAAAAAAAAAAAAAAAUUUGAUGAAUGGAUGAACAUCGUCACGCUUACACACACAAACUCCAUGUUCAAAUGUGCUGUAUAUGUCUACAUACACACGCAUAGAGAUACAGGUCCUAUUUUCUCAGUAUAUGUAACGUGUGUAAUGAAUGUGAAUAGGUUCAAAAAGAACAUUUUACAGUUCUUGCAAUUGCUGUGUUCGACCACGGUACACUACUGCACUCCAUUUUUAAUUCCAAAUCUUUCCAGACGGACCCCUCCUGACAGAGACAACACUCUCUUUUUGCACAGGAAGGAACAAGGACACACCUCAAAGCCCGACCUCCACUUCCUGUGAACCACCGGAAACACAGCCCAAACCCCGCCCCUUCCGGGGCUGCUACCGCAGAGCCUGCCGGGAAAACAUUUGUGCGGCGCUCCCCACACUGCGCAUGCAUGGUACUGCGCCGGGCCUACUUAGCCACCUGGGCUGGAAGCUGUCCCUACAAACUGCUGAGUGAUCAGAGUGCCUGCGGGCAGGAUUGGCCUUUGGGGAUGGCGCAGGAGGACGUUGCUGUCCAAGGGUGGGAUGGGGCAGAAAUUCAUGAGUUUGCUUUUAGAUCAUUUACUGUUGCCCAUCAUUUUUUGUAAGACCUGUAUGAUAAGUGCAAAUAUUUACAGGCAGCAGUCUGAGGCACAGAGAGGUAAAGGAACUUGCCCAAAGUCAUAAAACUAGGAAGAGUCAAAAUUCAAACUCAUAGUGGUCUAGCCCCAGAUUUUCAGCCCUUCAUUCUAACUAGGCUCCUUUUCCUUUGAGAUACUUUUAAUUGGUAGUCGCUGUUUCUGGCCUAUUUCACAAGGCUUUUCCUGAAAUCUGCACUACUUGUUGGUUUUUCACUUUUUUUUUAAGAGUCGGGGGGAAAAAUGCUCAAAGUUGUUCAAGUGGAAGAACUGGGAAUCCAAUGAACAGCAUUUUAUUAUAUUUAUAUAUUUUUUUUCUUUUUUCUUUUUAGGGCUGCACCUGUGGCAUAUGUAAGUUCCCAGGCUAGGGGUCAUACUGGAGCUGCAGAUGCUGGCUUAUGCCACAGUCCAGCAAUGCCAGAUCUGAGCCGCAUCUGUGACCUAUACCACAGCUUUCAGCAAUUCUGGAUCCUCAAUCCACUGAGGGAGGCUGGAGAUUGAACUCGAAUCCUCACAGAGAAUAUGUUGGGUCCUUAACCCACCGAGCCACAAUAGGAACUCCCUUCUUUUCUCUUCUUGACCAUUGACUUCUGUCUCCUAUCUCCCUGUAUUCACCAAAAUGUUCAUUUGGAAGUCACCGUUUUAAUUAAUUUAUUAUUGUUAUUAUUAUUAUUAUUAUUUUCUUUUUAGGGCCACACCUGUGGCAUAUGGAGGUUCCCAGGCUAGGGGUCUAAUCGGAGCUGUAGAUGCUGGCCACAGCCACAGCCACAGCCACGCUGGAUCUGAGCCGAGUCUGUGACCUACACCACAGCUCAUGGCAAUGCUGGAUCCUUAACCCACUGUCAGAGGCCAGGGAUGGAACCUGCAUCCUCAUGGAUACCAGUUAGAUUUGUUUCCACUGAGCCACCUUGGGAACUCCCCUUUAUGCCUUUUUGUAGCAGAUAUUUUAUACCUCUGCAUGUACCACACUGAGAUGAAACUCCUAGUUAAUACUGCCUUUCUCAAGGCAUAAUAUUAAAACAUCAACAUAAUGUUCUGACUGUAAUAUAAGGGAAAUAUAAAAGCAAAGUCUUUUACAAUAAAAAGAACGUGUAAUUCACUGUGUAAGGGUUCCGGCAUGAUUUUGCUUGAAGUUAAACACAAGAAACGCCAGGCCCCAGGGAGACUGCCCUUUGGAGAUGGGGCCUUUAUGGAGGUAAUUAAGGUUAAAUGAUAUUAUAAGGGUGAGGUGCUAAUCUGAUGGGAUUUGUGUCCUUAAAAGAGACACCAGAGGCCCUCCCUUUGCCCCUCCCUUUCUCUGUCUCUCUAUCUCUGCUCUUAGUUUCUCCCUCUUUUGCUAUUGAGAGGGACAGAAUAAAGAGACUAAGUGGUUAAAUACUUAAUCCCACUAGGGGAUUUUAAGUAGGAAAAAACUAUCAGAGACCCCUGUGCGUUAAUGAUUAAUCAAGAAAAUGACUUGGGGAGUUCUUCUGUGGUGUGGUGGGUUGAGGAUCCAGUGUUGUCCCUGCAGUGGCUUGGGUCAUUGCUAUGGCUCAGGUUUGAUCCGUGGCCCAGGAAGUUCCACAGGCCAGAGGACAGAGCCAAGAAACAAAGAAAGGAAGAAAGAAGAGUUUCUUGACAACAAAAUUUGGCUUGCUUAGCAGCAAAACCAUGGAACUGGUGUUCCCAUUGUGGCACAGUGGAAAUGACUCCGACUAGUAUCCAUGAGGAUGCAGGUUCGAUCCCUGGCCUCGCUCAGUGGGUUAAGGACCUGGUGUUGCCGUGAACUAUGGUGUAGGUCGCAGGCGUGGCUUGGAUUUGGUGUUGCUGUGGCUGUGGUGUAGGCCGGCAGCUACAGCUCUGAUUGGACCCCUAGCCUGGGAAUUUCCAUGUGCCCAUAUGCCGAGGGUGCGGCUCUAAAAAGCAAGCAAGCCAACAACAACAAAAACCCAACAAUAACAAGGGAGUUCCCGUCGUGACGCAGUGGUUAACGAAUCCGACUAGGAACCAUGAGGUUGCGGGUUCGAUCCCUGCCCUUGCUCAGUGGGUUAACAAUCCGGCGUUGCCGUGGUAGGUUGCAGACGCGGCUUGGAUCCCGCGUUGCUGUGGCUCUGGCGUAGUCCGGUGGCUACAGCUCCGAUUCAACCCCUAGCCUGGGAACCUCCAUAUGCAGCGGAAGCGGCCCAAGAGAUAGCAACAACAAAAACAACAAACAACAACGAAAAA